GAGUUUGAUCCUGGCUCAGAAUGAACGCUGGCGGCGUGCCUAACACAUGCAAGUCGAGCGGUAACAGGUGUAGCAAUACAUGCUGACGAGCGGCGAACGGGUGAGUAAUGCUUCGGAAUCUGCCCAAUGGUGGGGAAUAACCAGCCGAAAGGUUGGCUAAUACCGCAUGAGCCCUACGGGGGAAAGCAGGGGAUCGUAAGACCUUGCGCCGAUGGAUGAGCCGAAGUCGGAUUAGCUAGUUGGUAGGGUAACGGCCUACCAAGGCGACGAUCCGUAGCUGGUCUGAGAGGACGACCAGCCACACUGGGACUGAGACACGGCCCAGACUCCUACGGGAGGCAGCAGUGGGGAAUAUUGGACAAUGGGGGAAACCCUGAUCCAGCGACGCCGCGUGUGUGAAGAAGGCCUGCGGGUUGUAAAGCACUUUUAGUGGGGAUGAAAAGCUCAGGGCUAACACCUCUGAGUCUUGACCUAACCCACAGAAAAAGCACCGGCUAACUCUGUGCCAGCAGCCGCGGUAAUACAGAGGGUGCAAGCGUUAAUCGGAAUUACUGGGCGUAAGGCGUGCGUAGACGGUUAUGUAAGUCGGGUGUGAAAGCCCCGGGGCUCAACCUGGGAAUUGCAUUCGAGACUGCAUAGCUAGGGUGCGGAAGAGGGAAGCGGAAUUUCCGGUGUAGCGGUGAAAUGCGUAGAUAUCGGAGGGAACACCAGUGGCGGAAGCGGCUUCCUGGUCAACACCAACGUUUCAGGCACCGAA
rnacentral:rRNA from 1 species